ACCCACUUCAAGUGCAAGCCCAGCAUCUGUCUAUUCAGUCUUUCAGAUCAAAUGGCUUUUUGAAUUUUGGUUAUUGCCAAGACACAGGCAACGUAGCAUAUUUAACAGAUGGCUCAACCUUUAAGAUGUUGAAUCUACUUGUGGAAAGAGUUUCUCCUUGCCUCCUUUGGCUGCAGUAAGUUUGCCAUAUGGUACACUGCAGCACUGCAGGUGUGGUGCUCCCCAGAAUGUGAUUCAUGUCUGCAGAUAGUAUGGGGAGAUUUCCAUAGCAACAGGCCACCAAAAAAUGAGACAAUGAAAAGUCUAUGUUAUAUAACAGGGUUUUUUGUUUUGUUUUCGUUCCUAUGCUGUGUGGGCAACUGGUUUGUAUUUCUUAUGGAUUUUAAUGAGGUAAUACACUCAAUUUCAUAAUAAGUUUCUCCUAUAGGUCAUGCCACAAAGAAAGGAACACAGAAACUCAAAAGUACCUGAACUUUCUAUCAUCAGUUAAUCAAAUUUCAAAUUCAGAUCUCUUUAUCUUAUCCUAAUUAUAAAUCCAGAAAUGUGCUUCAUAAGUAAUCAAUAAAGAACAAGAAAAUGUGGUUUGAUAUAGAAUUUUCUAAUAUUUGUUUAUCAAUAUACAUUGAGUACCCAUUGUAGCCACCCCUGACGCAGGAAGGGUUAAUAAUUACUGCAAAAGGGGGACGUGGUCCUCAUAGCACGUGGCUGAGGAGAGGUGGUGGCGGUGGUGGAGGCUGGGGUAGUCUGAGGGAGCUGUGAAGAGGCGAUGAAAGGUGGUAGUCCUGGCAUACCUGUGAGGGGGACGUGGUCCUCAUAGCACGUGGCUGAGGAGAGGUGGUGGCGGUGGUGGAGGCUGGGGUAGUCUGAGGGAGCUGUGAAGAGGCGAUGAAAGGUUGGCUCUGAGCGCCAGGCAGGGUGGGGGAUGAGUGCCCGUUCAGUCCAAGCACUGUUAAGGCAGGAAACUGCAGGACUCUUGGUGAAGAGCUAACAAAUGAAUUCAGUAAAGUUGUAGGACACGAAAUCAAUGCACAAAAUUCUGCGCUAUUUCUUCAUACUAAUAAUGAACUAUCAGAAAGAGCAAUUAAGAAAACAAUCCUAUUUACAAAU
rnacentral:lncRNA from 1 species